GAGAUUUGAAUGAUAUUUAUUAAUUAUUUUUGGAAAACUAUUAUUGAAAGUUAAUCAUUAAUUAGUUAAAGUUUUAAAGAGUUGCCCGCUAGUGAGAAGUUACUAAAAUUGUCAGCGAGUGGAAAGGUAUCUGCUAUUGGGGAAGCUAAUAGAGUAGUGGAUAACAAUUACUGUAACUGCUAGACGUGUAGGACAUGAAAAUGUGCUAGUUCUAAAUACUUUUAGGUUCAAUCAGAUGCAAUUAUAAAUAGUUUUUGCUAUGCAAUGGAAAGACUUGGCCAACCAAACAAUCAACUCAAUCAAACAUCAAUGAUAAUUCAAAAACUCUAGCAAUCCAAAUCAUUUCAAAACUCUAGUAAUCAUUCUCAAUUUUUAAGCAUUGUCCAUUUUAA
rnacentral:misc_RNA from 1 species